GACGAACGCUGGCGGCGUGCUUAACACAUGCAAGUCGAACGAAGUGGCGAACGGGUGAGUAACGUGUAAUCAACCUGCCCUUCAGAGGGGGACAACAGUUGGAAACGACUCCUAAUACCGCAUACUGAAGGAGGGGAUUGCGUCGGAUUAGCUAGUUGGAGGGGUAACGGCCCACCAAGGCGAUGAUCAGUAGCCGGUCUGAGAGGAUGAACGGCCCAAUUGGGACUGAGACAAGGCCCAGACUUCCACGGGAAGCAGCAGUGGGGAUAUGUCCGCAAUGGACGAAAGUCUUACGGAGCAACGCCGCGGGAGUGAUGACGGCCUUCGGGUUGGAAAGCUAUGUUAAUCGGGACGCGGUACCGGAAUAGAAAGCCACGGCUAACUACGUGCCAGCAGCCGCGGUAAUAC
rnacentral:rRNA from 1 species